CCACAGCCUGGAUAGGAGGGCAGGUGUCAAGGCCAGAGCACAAACAGAACCCUGUUUCCUGACUUGGUCCUCCCUAGCCACAGGGACACUUACAGCACAGAUGACAGCCCUUGCAAGGACCCCCUCAGAGCUGUCCAGGGAGAGGUUAGCCUCUGCAGGCAGGAAAAGCCCCCCAAGAUUCCUCAGCAGAGCUCUGUGGGGUGGGGGGCAGAGUGUGGUGAGAGGCUGGGCUCUGGGCAAGGGAGAGGCUUGCACCCAGGGCUGGCCUGUGUAGCAGCAGCACCCCUGGAAUGGGACCUGGGGUACACCCCUGCCCCAGCCUGGGACUUCUCCCAGUGCAGCCAAGGCCCAGGCUCUUACCUGAGAGCAGGAGAACAGGCACAAGGGUCCCACGCCACGCGGAGCACGCCCAGGCCCUGGGAGAGCAGCACGAAGGGCAGCAGGAUCCCAUCCAGGAGCGAUUUAUGAGUGGAGAGGAGGACAAGUGGCGAGCCCUGCUCCAGGAGACCAGAGGUCCCCUGAGGACUCCGCGAGACUGGCCUCGGGCCUGCGAGGCGGGAGCUCCAUUCUGUCCACACAGACACCGGCCCCACCUGCACCCGAAAGUCCGCCAGGCCCAGUUCCCGACGCGGGAAGGUCUCUGAAGGACCCAGGGCCUGGUCCGACCCGGCCUGUCCUGGGAGGAGCGCUGGAAGAUUAAACCUCGCGCCUACCUCCGACUCCCGCCAAAGCAGCAGCGGCGAGAGGCGGCCGGAAGACUAUGCCGGGCAGCCUCAGUGCGCCGGCGUAAAACAGCCCUGGGAGCCAAUUGGGAUGUGCGCUGGGUCCGAAGCCCCGCCCUCCCGUAGUGCCUGAGCCUGCCAGCCCCUCUUGGUGAGGGACCUUCCUCUGGUGAGGCCUCUCUCCCUUCCUGCCUUGCCAGACAGGCCCGGAAGACCAUGGAGGGACCUCUGAAGACUUCUGCGAGACCCGGGGCCCCCAAGGUGAGACAAAGACUCAUUUGUAGCCAGAUUCUAACGACAGAAAUUCUCAGCCAGCUGUGGUGGUACAUGCCUGUAAUUCCAGCACUGUGGGAGGCGGAGGCAGAAGGAUCACAAAUUAGAGCCCAGCCGGUGCAAUUUUUUGACCUAGCAAGACCGUGUGUAAAAAUCAUUUUUUAAAGGGAUGGAGAUGUAGCAGAAUUGCAAGCCCUUGGGGGAGAGAGAGAGAGCGAGAGAGAAAGCCAGAGCCAGUUUUUGGCUCAUGAAAAACAAGUCAGGCCUCCCCAGCGUCCGUUCCUCCUUUAAUUACAACUCCGGAGCAGGUGCCUGGUGUCAGCUGAGCCUAUGGCCACUGUGCUCUUCGCCAGGUUAUUUGAUUAAUACUGGACUCCUGUGUCAGCCCCAAGCUCGAUGUGAACGAAGACCUUACAGGUUCAUUCAUCUUUUGACUGUGCUCUCAGCACCCAGCAGGAGACCAGCUCGACCUGGCAUGCAGUGUGGAAUAAAUGGCUCCCUCCGUGGGCCACCUGACAGGCCAGAGGAUCUCAUGGCUUUGGGACACUGUGACAUCGUGAGAGCAAAGACAGAUGUGAGCCUGCUGGCCCUGGAUGACAAGAAGACCUGUGCACAGCCCUCUUUCUCUGCUGACUCAACACCCCGAUGUGACUCGCUAGCUUUCCCCUCAGGAUCCAGCCACCUCUCCCUUUCCUUGUGCCCAUUUGUGUCUGCCCAGGCUGAGUUUCUGUCCACUCACUUGUGUCCAGCUUUAUGAUGUCUGCUAGUAUUGCAGAACCCAUUAUGUGCCCUCUCCUACCUUUUUGUACCCAGGAACACAGGCCAAAAGAAGACUGAGGUUCUGAAGCUGAAAAGCGAAACCAUGCUUUAUUUAUGUUGCCCACCCCUCUGUUCUGGGAAUGCCCUCUGGGUGAGCAGCUGAGUCACUGACAGGUCCCUUUUGUGGUUAGGGAGCUCGGAGGCUGAGACACUGCAGACUGCAAUGUCCUGUGGUUGUGACACACCAAGGUGUCAUCUGGCAGAGUCCUGUCCUCUGAUGUGUAGCUUAUUUGAAAGAAAUGUGUUUGGUGGUAGUGAUGAUGGUUUCCUGCAAUUUGGAUAUUUAAUAGAAGCUCUACCUUAAAUCUGCACCUGAGUUGGGGCACUAAGGACCUGGUAUGCCCUUCUCAAGCAGUUUGACUGUGACCAACAUGGCCCUGGAAAGAAGAGAAACUCGUCUGGGCUCAGCCCCACCCAACCUGGACUGGACCUAAGGAGAGGGAGCCCUUCACAGAAUUAGAAUUCUAAGAGAUUUCUGAGAAAGGAGAUUUAUGAUCUAAAAGAGUGUUUUGAGACCUGGUGACCACAGUUCAGUAGAGUGAGCAGAGCAUUGGACUUCUCGGGCUCUUUUUCUAAUGGGACUCUUCCUUUCCACUGAUUCCAACCCAAAUACACUUACGGAAGAAGACAAUGGUUUGGCUUAUAUAACUAGAAACUGUAUGCAUGUCAGCUUCAGGCAUGGCUAGAUCCAGGUGUUCAGACAAUGGUAUUGGUCCUUGGAUUUUCUCUCCAGUGUCUGUACUGGUCAUGUCUGCCUGGUUUUGCUCCUCCUAAAGGCUCUCCUAUUUAAAAAAUGACUGAAAAAAAUAAAAAUAAAAAAAUGAC